rnacentral:rRNA from 1 species
UACAGAGGGGGCAAGCGUUGUUCGGGAUUACUGGGCGUAAAGGGCGCGUAGGCGGCCCGCUAAGUCGAACGUGAAAUCCCCGAGCUCAACUCGGGAACUGCGUCCGAUACUGGUGGGCUUGAAUCCGGGAGAGGGAUGCGGAAUUCCAGGUGUAGCGGUGAAAUGCGUAGAUAUCUGGAGGAACACCGGUGGCGAAGGCGGCAUCCUGGACCGGCAUUGACGCUGAGGCGCGAAAGCUAGGGGAGCAAACGGG